AUUGAACGCUGGCGGCAUGCCUUACACAUGCAAGUCGAACGGUAACGCGGGGCAACCUGGCGACGAGUGGCGAACGGGUGAGUAACGCAUCGGAACGUGCCCAGUAGUGGGGGAUAGCCCGGCGAAAGCCGGAUUAAUACCGCAUACGACCUACGGGUGAAAGGGGGGGAUCGCAAGACCUCUCGCUAUUGGAGCGGCCGAUGUCAGAUUAGGUAGUUGGUGGGGUAAAGGCCUACCAAGCCGACGAUCGGUAGCUGGUCUGAGAGGACGACCAGCCACACUGGGACUGAGACACGGCCCAGACUCCUACGGGAGUCAGCAGUGGGGAAUUUUGGACAAUGGGCGCAAGCCUGAUCCAGCCAUGCCGCGUGCGGGAAGAAGGCCUUCGGGUUGUAAACCGCUUUUGUCAGGGAAGAAACGCGCUGGGUUAAUACCUCGGCGUAAUGACGGUACCUGAAGAAUAAGCACCGGCUAACUACGUGCCAGCCGCCGCCGUAAAAC
rnacentral:rRNA from 1 species